CAAAAACAUAGCUAUAUGRAUAAAUAUAUAGUGUUUUCUGCUCAAUGAAUCUUUUAAAUAGCCGCAGUACCCUGACUGUGCUAAGGUAGCGCAAUCAAUUGACUUUUAAAUGAAGUCCAGUAUGAAAGAAAUUAUGGGAGGCUACUUUUUCAUUAAUAAUAAAGGGAUUUACUUAUAAAGUGCAAAUUCUUUAAUAUAAAUAAUAGACGAGRAGACCCUAGAAAUUUUAUAGAAAUUACUUUUUGUUGGGGCCACAAAGUAGUAUAAUUAAUCUACUAUAAUGACAUGCACGUUAUAUCUUGAAAGAUUAAAUUACUUUAGGGAUAACAGCAUAAUUUGUGAAAGUUUGUGACCUCGAUGUUGGAUUAGGGRAUUUACGUUUAGAAGAUAAAUAAUUUGCUCUGUUCGAGCA
rnacentral:rRNA from 1 species